GCCGGGUGUGGUGGCUCACGCCUGUAAUCCCAGAACUUUGGGAGGCCGAGGCAGGUGGAUCACCUGAGGCCAGGAGUUUGAGUCCAGCCUGGCUAACAUGGUGAAACCCUGUCUCUA
ensembl:misc_RNA Metazoa_SRP Metazoan signal recognition particle RNA